rnacentral:rRNA from 1 species
UACGUAGGGUGCAAGCGUUGUCCGGAAUUAUUGGGCGUAAAGAGCUCGUAGGCGGUUUGUCGCGUCUGCUGUGAAAACUCGGGGCUUAACCCCGGGCCUGCAGUGGGUACGGGCAGACUAGAGUGAUGUAGGGGAGACUGGAAUUCCUGGUGUAGCGGUGAAAAUGCGCAGACAUCAGGAGGAACACCGAUGGCGAAGGCAGGUCUCUGGGCAUUAACUGACGCUGAGGAGCGAAAGCAUGGGGAGCGAACAGG